rnacentral:tRNA from 1 species
GAGUUGGUGGCUCGGUGGUCGAGUGCAUGCUUUGCAUAUAUGAUGUCCAGGGUUCAAUCCCCAGGUUGUUGA